CUGACCUGCUUCAGGGGAGUUCCUGUUCCAAGCACCGUGCCUUCAUUCCAGCACUGGAUAUUGCUGAAGUCUCUUGUCUUUUGCAACUUGUCUCAUCCUAAAAUGGAAGGCUAGCUGUACCCAAGACACACAGUGACUAUGAAUUUGUAUCCAGGAGAAGUUGAUAUUUAUUAUGAUCAACAAAUCAGGCUAAACAAGUAGAACCGAACAAACAAUAUCAAUAACAAGAUCAUGCAAAGAACGAAAACAAUUAAAUACAGGAAAGAAUAUGGUGUAAUGAAUGGUUCAUCAGGAAUGUCAACAAAAUACUACUUUUAAAGAAAGGUCAG
rnacentral:lncRNA from 11 species